rnacentral:misc_RNA from 1 species
AAUCAGAGUUUUUUGUUCGCCUUGACUAGAAUUUUGGAUCCAUUUUUUUUGGUUUUUGACCCAUUUGACUUUCUCUCGUGCCUGUCCUAGACUAAACGAUAAUAAAUAAAGUACAGAAAAUAGAAAAGCAACAAGGGAUUAUGCCCAAAAUAAAUACAAUGUGAUAAUUUAAAAAUAAACUUGGGUUAAUUGCCCCAAGCUCUUCAACUCUUCGAACUUCUUGGCUUGCUCUGGAUUCUUCAAUUUUGAAAAUCUAUACGUCGAUUUUAUCGCUGACUCGGAUGAAGUUGAGUCUUUAUGGUUCUCUCGGAAUACAAAGUAAAUGACGAGUCCGUGAAGACUCGACGAGAAGUUCAUACAACACAAACAAAACAAUAUUAUAAUCCAAAACGAGGAAAUGCUUAAGUACAUGAAUUUAAAUUGUGAAGAGUCAAGCUAAACGAUUUAGAAUAAACAG